rnacentral:rRNA from 1 species
CCUACGGGGGGCUGCAGUCAAGAAACUUCCACAAUGGGCGAAAGCCUGAUGGAGAAUGCCGCGUGCAGGAAGACGCCUUUCGGGGUGUAAACUGCUUUUAUAUGGGAAGAAUUUGUGACGGUACCAUAUGAAUAAGAGGUUGCUAACUCUGUGCCAGCAGCAGCGGUAAUACAGAGACCUCAAGCGUUAUCCGGAUUUAUUGGGCGUAAAGCGUCCGCAGGUUGUUUUAUAAGUCAUUUGUUAAAUCUUCGGGCUCAACCCGAAGACUGCAACUGAAACUGUAAAACUAGAGAAUGGGAGAGGUAAGCGGAAUUCUCGGUGUAGUCGUAAUAAGCGCUGAUGUCGAGAGGAACACCAAAGGCGAAGGCAGCUUACUGGAACAUUUCUGACACUCAUGGACGAAAGCGUGGGGAGCGAAGCGGAUUAGAUACCCCUGUAGUC